rnacentral:lncRNA from 12 species
GUUGCAUACAACAUAUAGUUAAUUAUUAUUAUUUUUUUUCCUAACAGUUGACCAUUGGUGAUAUUGGAGAUAUAACAAAAGUCUCUUUUGUGUUAUGUGGCCCACUCUUGAGAAGAGGAAUGAAACUUCAGAAGCUUCAGCUAAAAGGCCUGGACACUAAACAAGAGCUGGGCUUUCACACUAAAGCCCCAUGUCUAUUUGGAGAAGAUGGAUCUGAGACCGUGAGAGAGCUUGCUGUGGUCAGGCCAGACCAGGCACCACUCAGGGAUAUGCUGCUGAAAUGAAAAAUAAAUAUGUGAGCAAAUGCAUACACACACAGCAUUGUAAACUGCUUAA